rnacentral:rRNA from 1 species
UACGAAGGGUGCAAGCGUUAAUCGGAAUUACUGGGCGUAAAGCGCGCGUAGGUGGUUCGUUAAGUUAGGAGUGAAAGCCCCGGGCUCAACCUGGGAAUUGCUUCUAAAACUGGCGGGCUAGAGUAUGGUAGAGGGUGGUGGAAUUUCCUGUGUAGCGGUGAAAUGCGUAGAGAUCGGGAGGAAUACCAGUGGCGAAGGCGGCCUUCUGGACUGACACUGACGCUGAGGUGCGAAAGCGUGGGUAGCAAACAGGAUUAGAUACCCUGGUAGUCCCUGAG